rnacentral:rRNA from 1 species
AAAGCGGGGGAUCGUAAGACCUCGCGUUAUUGGAGCGGCCGAUGUCGGAUUAGCUAGUUGGUGAGGUAAAGGCUCACCAAGGCGACGAUCCGUAGCUGGUCUGAGAGGACGACCAGCCACACUGGGACUGAGACACGGCCCAGACUCCUACGGGAGGCAGCAGUGGGGAAUUUUGGACAAUGGGGGAAACCCUGAUCCAGCCAUUCCGCGUGAGUGAAGAAGGCCUUCGGGUUGUAAAGCUCUUUCGGCAGGAACGAAACGGUGGGGCUAAUAUCCCCUGCUAAUGACGGUACCUGCAGAAGAAGCACCGGCUAACUACGUG